GGCACUGUGGCGGAGUGGUUAACGCGCUGCCUUGCUAAGGCCGUUCCUUAGGGAGCAUGAGUUCGAAUCUCAUCGGUGUCG